rnacentral:tRNA from 1 species
UGGGGUGGAGCUCAGCGGUAGAGCGUGUGCUUCGUGUGCACCAGGUCCUGGCUUCAAUCCCCAGUACCUCCA